UGGGGGAUAUUGCACAAUGGGGGAAACCCUGAUGCAGCAACGCCGCGUGUGGGAAGAAGGUUUUCGGAUUGUAAACCACUGUUCUUGGUGAAGAUAAUGACGGUAACCAAGGAGAAAGCUCCGGCUAACUACGUGCCAGCAGCCGCGGUAAUACGUAGGGAGCAAGCGUUGUCCGGAUUUACUGGGUGUAAAGGGUGCGUAGGCGGCUAGGCAAGUCAGACGUGAAAACCAUGGGCUCAACCUGUGGACUGCGUUUGAAACUGUUUAGCUUGAGUGAAGUAGAGGUAGGCGGAAUUCCCGGUGUAGCGGUGAAAUGCGUAGAGAUCGGGAGGAACACCAGUGGCGAAGGCGGCCUACUGGGCUUUAACUGACGCUGAGGCACGAAAGCAUGGGUAGCAAACAGG
rnacentral:rRNA from 2 species